UAUUUAUUUAUUUAUUUAUUUAUUAAUUAUAUGUAAGUACACUGUAGCUGUCUUCAGACACUCCAGAAGAGGGCAUUAGAUUUCAUUAUGGAUGGUUGUGAGCCACCAUGUGGUUGCUGGGAUUUGAAUUCAGGACCUUUGGAAGAGCAGUCGGCGCUCUUAACCGCUGAGCCAUCUCACCAGCCCUUGUUCUUUAAUUUUUAAUAGGAAGAACAACAUUUAUAUUACUGAUGAGAAUUAAGUAGUUCUCUGUCCUGUAUAGAUGGUGAUAUUUUGGCUAGAAGGUGCAAAUGCAUUCUGGUCCCAGUUCCCCAUGUUACCCCAGGGAAGGCUUCUAAAGAAAGGAAUGCCUGAGCUGCCUAGGGCCUAGGCUGCAAAAGCCUGCUGAAAGCCAGGGACUGCCACUGACCUUUAACCCCAGCAAGUGGGAGGCAGGCAGAAACAGGCACAUCUCUGGCAGUCUGAGGCCAGCCUAGUUCCAGUCAGGGUUAUACAAAGAGACCUUGUCUCAAAAACAAACAAACAAACAAACAAAUAAAAACAGCAAUCUAGACUGCUGGAUAGACCCAUCUGGGUGUUUGCAGACUCUUCAAUCCUAACACAGUCACACUUAAGUCUCCUUAGGAGUUAGGGUGUUUCGCUUCCCUUCUCUUGUGAGAUCUUGGGGAGGAAGCGGGAGGAGGGGCCUUUGUGAGGAUGAAUAAGUGGGAAGUGUUUGGUGUGGCUGGAGGUGAGAUUGGGGAAUGGGGUCUCCAUGUGAGAUGAACAGGAUUUUUCAGGGCUACUGAGGAAUAUAAACAUUCGAAUUUCAGCAGGAUAGAGGCUGGAUAGAACAAGGAGAGCCUGGGCAGAGGACCAGGUGAAUGGGCUUGGGAGAACUUCAAUCCUUUAUUUUGACCGCCUCAUAUGCCAGGACCAAAGGCUAGAGCAAAGUCUCUUGCUUAAUUGGAAAACCUUUGGCUUUUCCUCCCACUCUGAGAAUUCAAGACAGAUACAUGGGAGUUAGGGAAAGAUAAAGCAGGAAGAGAGUAACAAUGGUGUCUACGCCACCUUAACGGGUCACAGGCAGGCUGACAGGUGGGAGCAAGUGGCAAAGACAUCUGCUAAGAAUCUGGGCACGCCAGGCAGUGGUGGCGCACGCCUUUAAUCCCAGCACUUGGGAGGCAGAGGCUGGCGGAUUUCUGAGUUCGAGGCCAGCCUGGUCUACAAAGUGAGUUCCAGGACAGCCAGGGCUACACAGAGAAACCCUGUCUCGAAAAACCAAAAAAAAAAAAAAAGAAUCUGGGCACAGGCCACAUUACCUUCCCUGCCUGUCCCUUUAAGGUAUGGGGGUAGCUCCAUCUCUAUGGUAUAUGAAACAAGCCUAAAUCAUUGCUAGAGGCCUACUUGAGGACUUCCAAGUCCCAUCCUUUUAAAGGACAAAUUUCUUUCAAAUUUACCAUUGAAAAAAAGGGGAGUCUAAUAUUCCCCUACAACACUUUGAAGUACUUUGCCCUUUUCCGAAGGACAAGGCUGUCCAGAGCUGGUUAAACUGUUACUGGAACAGAACUUUGAGCUAUUUCUUUUGUAAUAAGAGCAAACAUGUUUACUGUGAGUCGGCAUUCUCUUUCAUGAUUAUCCUCAUGAUACAAAAGAGGAAAUCCAAGAGGUUAUAUAACAUGCCCUAGGUACACAGCACGUUGAGGAGAGCCAGUUUUGUACAUGGGCAGGCUAUUCCAGAGCCUGACUUCUCUCAGCUCACCCAGGCCGGUUGGAGGAGGGACAAUACUCCCGCCUAGACCAGAGGUUCUCAAACAGCGGUUUUUAACCCUUUCACAGAGGUUACAUAUCAGAUACCCUGCAUGUCAGAUAUUUACAUUAUGAUUCAUAACUAGAAAAAUUAGUUAUGAACUAACAAUGAAAGUAAUUGUAUAAUCAGGGGUCACCACAACACGAGGAACUGUAUUAAAGGGUCGCAGCAUUAGGAAGGUUGAGAACCACUGCUCUAGGCAAAAUAGGUUGAGGGUGUGAACUCAAGUAUACUAAAGGGAGCUGAUGAAGAGACAUUCAAACCACACAGAGACACACAUACAUAUAUAUACAUACAUACAUAUACGUAAAUACACAUGCAUAUAUGUAAAUACACAUAUACACAUACAUAUACAUGCACAUAUAUAUGCACACACACACACACACACACACACACACACACUAUUUGGAUGGCAGAGACAGCUGAGGUGAUCCGACCAGGGGCAUCUUCCUGGAGAUUGUCUGAGGCUACUGAGAGUGAGUGUGCUGAAGAGAGAAGGGUGGCUUUAGAUGUGAUUCAGAUGUUUCUGACUCAAAAAAGGUUGUAGGAUGCUGCUGUAACUAAAGAAGACUUAGAGCUCCUCUUUGCACUUCUGUGAAUCAUUCACAAGAAAUCCUGCUUAGGAAACCUUGAAUGUACCUGAAAUGACAAUCACCGAAAAUAAAGUGAAGGGAUAGGCUCUCAGAGGAACUAAGUAACUCUGUGUGUGUGUGUGUGUGUGUAUGAGAGAGAGAGAGAGAGAGAGAGAGAGAGAGAGAGAGAUAUGCAUGGGUGCAUCCAUGCAUGCAUGGGUACAUUGGUCUGCCUGCCUGUUCUCACCAUUUUUAGGCAUCCAUUCUACCCCUGAGCACAGCCCUCAGAACCCUGAGAGAUGAGGAGAUGAGGAAAGCUUAGGAAAGCAUGUAGGAAAUCUGAGAUGGAAAAGGAGAUUAGGUAAACAGGGCGGCCAACCACCACCACCUUUUGGUGUUCAGUGGUCUGUGGUAGCCUGGUAAAGCCGGGGCUGGGGACCCACACUGGUUCUUAGUAUUUACAAGGUUAAGGCUUAUUUGUUUUGAGACAAUAUUGCUGUCUACUUCAAGCUAUCUUAAGAUACUAGAUCUUUCUGCCUCAGCUUCCUUAAAACUGGGGCUAUAGGUAUAUGCUUACCAGCUGUGAGAACUUUUUUUUUUUUAGGUAUAAACAGGGCAGUUCAUAUUUGUGUGUAUGUGUGUGCAUAUGUGUCCCUGCAGUGGCCAGAAAGUGUUGGAUCCUUUGGAGCUGGAGCUAUAGGCAUUUGUAAACAGCCUAACAUGGAUGCCAGAACCUGAACUCUGGUCCUGUGCAAGAUCAUCAAGCAGUUUCAACUGCUGAGCUGGCUCUCCAGUUACCAAGGGUUGAUCUUAAUAAGGUCUUGUGCCCAGUGGCAUGCCCCCUGCAGAGAGAGGGAGGCAGAACUGAGCCACAGUUGAGUGAAGUCACCAAGAGGUAGGGAGAGGUUGUUGAGGACUCUAGCUCUGUUGCUUGCCUUGUAUACACAAAGCCUUGGGCUCUUUCUCCAGCACCACAAAAAUUUGGUGUCGUGGCACUCAGCUGUAUCACCAGCAUUUGGGAGGAGGGACAGCUUAAAGGUCACCUCUAGAGAGAGUGUGGGGAGAGAGGGGAGGGAAAUGGUGGAAAGAAUGAAGUGUUCAAUGUCCUCUGCCACGCAACAGUAAACAGACUAUCAGCAUAGCACCCUCUGGUGUCCAGAAGAGUCACUGCACCUUUGUGUGUGAUUCGGCAAGGGCAGCUUGCCCUGGCUGGAAGCAGAGAUAGGAAGAAUGUGGAGACAUAAGUGCCUGGGGUUUGUCUGCUGAGACCAUUAGUACGGAGGGUGGGUGAGGUUCCAAGUUAGAAACAAAACUGGUUCAUUAGAUUGCACCUUAGUUGAAGUUAAAAUUGUAUCUGCUAUAACAGAAACAUAAGUUUACAUAACAAUCUAGGGUGUUAGUUAAUAUCAAACAUGGGACCUGAGACUUCUUUGAGAAAGAUUUGGUGAUAGCGGUUCUAAGGUGGUGAUUUCUUUAAAAAUGGAUUUUUUUUCCUUCUUUAAAUUACUGUGAAGGAAAAAACAAAAACAAAAACAAACAAACAAACAAGC
rnacentral:lncRNA from 1 species